rnacentral:rRNA from 1 species
UGUGACUGCGUACCUUUUGUAUAAUGGGUCAGCGACUUAUAUUCUGUAGCAAGGUUAACCGAAUAGGGGAGUCGAAGGGAAACCGAGUCUUAACUGGGCGUUAAGUUGCAGGGUAUAGACCCGAAACCCGGUGAUCUAGCCAUGGGCAGGUUGAAGGUUGGGUAACACUAACUGGAGGACCGAACCGACUAAUGUUGAAAAAUUAGCGGAUGACUUGUGGCUGGGGGUGAAAGGCCAAUCAAACCGGGAGAUAGCUGGUUCUCCCCGAAAGCUAUUUAGGUAGCGCCUCGUGAAUUCAUCUCCGGGGGUAGAGCACUGUUUCGGCAAGGGGGUCAUCCCGACUUACCAACCCGAUGCAAACUGCGAAUACCGGAGAAUGUUAUCACGGGAGACACACGGCGGGUGCUAACGUCCGUCGUGAAGAGGGAAACAACCCAGACCGCCAGCUAAGGUCCCAAAGUCAUGGUUAAGUGGGAAACGAUGUGGGAAGGCCCAGACAGCCAGGAUGUUGGCUUAGAAGCAGCCAUCAUUUAAAGAAAGCGUAAUAGCUCACUGGUCGAGUCGGCCUGCGCGGAAGAUGUAACGGGGCUAAACCAUGCAC